GGCUAUGCAUACCAGUAAGGAAAAAAGUGGUAGAUACAUGUACUGAUUCCAUUUAUCUAGCAAAAUAGGGAACCCUCACUAGUUGUGCAAAGUCCACAUACUUACCUACAUUCAGAUGUAAAUAGGUAUGCAUCGUCUACUGCACAGCUAUAAAAUUGCUUUGCACUUGCCUACCUUUUGCAUAAAUGAGUUGUUCAAGCAAAGGAGUUGGACCUCUGGAAAGAGUCAAACAUUUCUUAGUUUGAUACAGCUCAUUCAAAGAUUGUCUACCCCAAUUCUAGGCAUAUUUUAGGCAUCAGGUUUGCAUGUCCUAAACGAAGCUGGAAAUUUAUUUGGUCGUCCAUAUUCAUCUGUUUGAUGUGCGUGAUACUUCGAUCUUUUAUAUUUAAUGAUUCAGGCCCAGCUUUUGGGACAACUAUCAUUAUUAAACAAAUGAAUCAUUGGCAAGUUCAGUUAAUGCUCAUGGUGCACUCAGGUUCUUAGUUCUAAUUUUUUCUAUUGACGUAGGUGAACUAAACCAACAACGACGGGAUUAUAUGCGAUUUUUAGUAAAAAGUUGAAAAAUCAAGGUAAUAAUUACCAUAAUGAAAGAUUACUAGUUUUGAUGGGAAUCCUCCGAUAGACGGACAGAUUAUACGAUUGAAUAUCGUUAGGCACGCAGCUCAUUAAUUGUGGUUCCAGUAAAUUGUGAGGUUUGAUUUCAAGAUUUUUGUAAUGCCAGGUGUGAAGUUGGGGCACCCAUUAAAAUGUUGGUGCACCUAUAAAUUGACCAAUUUUAAAACUUUUUGCAGGUCAUCUGCACUGUUUAAUGAAUUAAGCUGCACAAUAUUAAUUAAUACGUGCAUUAUGCAUGUGUCUGUGUCUGUAUUUACCAGAAAUCAAACUAUUUGAUAAUGACAUAUGCAAAAUAUGUAUGGAUAUCAAUAAAAUGUAAAUGAA